GUUGGGAAUGGUUCCGGUUUUUCCUCACCAGGGCUAUUGAGCUUAUCGCGUAGUCUUUUUAUGCUACUGGUAGUUUCAUUUAAGCUGAACACAUAGGAUAUGCUUGUCGUGGUUUUUUGUUGAUGACAAACCUGGUUCUCUGAAUCUCAAGUUCACAGUGGCCUAGACUGUAUCCUCAUGUAAUUUUCUCUCUUCGUGUCACUAUCUCAUCAUGCUUAGAUAUGGUUUUCUAGUGUCUAUAAUUUUACUUUAUUUGACAUCUCGUGUAUUUGCCAUGUAUCAACGUAUUCUUAAUGAAAUGUUUAUACACAACAUGUCAUUUUUGCUUUCCACUGGAAAAUAAAAAAUAGUAAAAAAAAACCACUAAGGAUAUGCAGACUUUUGAACAGGGGUCAUUUAAAUUUUUUUCUUU